rnacentral:lncRNA from 1 species
AUGGAAACAUGAACCGGUGGCUGGUCAAAAAUCAGGAGACGAAAAUUAACCGAUGGGAACGUAGAGACGAAAAAAAACCAUCCUUUGGUGGAAGUUGAGACAAAAAAAACAGUUGGUGGGAAGAGAGACGAAAAAUAACCAUGUAGAGGUGGACAAAAAUUAACCGGUGACGAAAUUGAACCGGUGAGAUCCGGCUACCAACUGCCCCUUUAUUAGUAGAGAUAAAAUAACCAUGUAGAGGUGGCGGUUCCUGAAGGUCGAGGGAAGAGAGGGGGAAGGCAGUAGGAGGUCGAGGAGCGCGGGGGCGGCGACACAGGAACCCUAACCCUAUGCGGGGUGAGGAUUGGAGUUUGUUUUGUGCAAAGAGUUUUGUUUUGCGGGAGGAGACGAAAACAUAAACCGGUGGCUGGUCAAAAAUCAGGAGACGAAAAUUAACCGGUGAGAACGUAGAGACGAAAAAAAACCAUCCUUUGGUGGAAGGAGAGAAAAAAAACAGUUGAUGGGAAGAGAGACGAAAAAUAACCAUGUAAAAGUGGACGAAAAUUAACCGGUGACAAAAUUGAACCGGUGAGAUUCGGCUACCAACUACCUCUUUAUUAGUAGAGAUCCUUUUCCCCAAUGAACCAACCAGCACCAUGGACGCGUCCAGCUCUUGCAGGAGCCAGAUCCAACACCCGCAGUCUCCCUCCUGGUGAUCCAACCAGCGCCCGAUUGCUCCUCCCGCAGCGCGGACGCGCCCACCCAAGUGGAUGCCUAGCUGCUCCAGUAGCCAUGGUCAUGGCGCCCGAGCGUCCGUGCCUUCCCACGCCGUGCACUCUUGAGAGGAACUCCCUUGCUCCGGCUGGCCACCAACAACCUCGAGGGCAGUCCCUCAUGCCUCCUUCCCCUCUCCUUUCUCAUCCUCUUACUUCCUAUCUCUCCCUUUCUAUGAGCUCCCUAUCCCUCGUGCUUUCUUCUCGCAAGAGCCACUAGGGCUGACCGAAGCUUUGACCGCUCCUUCGCGAGGCUGCCGCCGCAUCUCCAGCCCUCGUCGCCGACCUGCAAGACGAGAAGAAGAAACAAGGACGUUGUCGCUUCAUGGAGCUUCCUAUGCUCAGAGCUUCAUACCCCUCACCCACGCUGGAUCCGCCUCCUCACGACCGGAUCCAGCGCCUCCAUGGCCCUGCCGGACCUCGACCCCCUCUGCCAGCGCCAUCCCCGUCCAGUUUCCUUGCGCCGCAGGUGUGUAGCCCCCAGAUCCGCCAUUGUUGUGUCGUUGCCUGCGUCUGUUCAUGGAGAAGAAGACUCAUUGAAACGUUAGUACUUAUUGCACUUAGCUGCUAGCACAUCAAAUGAGAAAGCAUAGCCGAGCUGGCUAGCACCGCUCGGUUACAUCCUAGAGAUCUCGGUUUUUGCCCUGUUUUUGUUGAUCUCGACUCGGCUGAAGUGCUACUUCAUCCACGAAGAAUCUUGUACAAUAUCAUAAAUAGAGAAACUAGCUUAGUUGGCUAGCGCAACAGGUCUUCAACUACGAGGUCCACGGACCAAAUCCCCGCGGCCUAUCUUUUAUUUUUACCUAGUGUAUUUUUUUGCACACACGCACUCUCAGCAGUUUUGGGCGAGACAUACUGCUAGGCUUGCGCAGUGCACAACAUUGAGCCUAUAUGUACUUUUUGGUUCGCUGCGAUUAAUCAAAUUGUUCACGAACUUCUAUAUGUACAAAAUGCCAUUAUUGUGCAUUGCUCAUAAAUCAUUAACCGUGCAUUGGAUCAAAUGAUUUAUAUAUGUUAAAUAAGUAGACUUUUAUGUAAAUUCACAAUUUCCGACUUUCAUUCAUGUUAAAAGUGAUUAACUCGCUGUUUGCAUUUAUUUUGUGCAAAUGCCAUGUUGAAAUGGUUUAUUUAAUUACUAUUGAACCGUAACUUCGAUUAAAAUAUUUUGUAUAUGAAACUUGCUUAAAAUAUCAUGUAGUUUCAUAAUAUCUUGUUGCAUCCAUGAUAUACCAUUCUUCUGGCUGUCAUUUGCAUACAUUUUACAUUCAUAACAUAUUAUCUUGUGAUGGUCAUAUCUUUUAGAUCAUAGCUUCGUUUUAAAUGAUCUAUAUAUGUAAAUCGACUAGAAUAACAUGAAGAAUCACAUGGUGUAAUUUAUUCUUCGACUUAAAUAAGUAUAAAAUAUGUUUAGCUUAGAUCUGGACCAAUUUCGAAAUUAACAUAUGUGACCCUUUCGGAAAUACUAUAAGUUGUUUCCGACCUCAUUUAAAAUGACUAGAUAGUGUAGUUUAUUUAUGCUUCACCUAUUGCCAUGUUUAACAAUAUUUAAACUUGUCGGGUAAAUAAAUGAGAGUGAACUAAAUGAUUCAAAUGUGGCAUUUUGUCAAUAUGCAACUCAUUGCAUGUUGAGCUCCACUUAAUGUGUAGAAGUUGAUUCUUGUGCUUUGUCGUGUCUUGCAUAAUUAAAAUGACAUGCAUCAUAAUUGCUUGCACAUCAUGUCAUGCAUAUGUUGUGGUGUUUAUCGUGUGUUAAUUGUUUGUUUUUGGAUUGUUUCUUCUCGAUAGAGUUUCAAAACCGCUUCGGAGUGUGAGAAUUUGUUCGUCUACGUUGGUUUGUCUACUUCACGGAUUCGUUCUCCUUCCAAGCGGGAUCUCAGGCAAGAUGAUCAUUUCCCUCGAUACCACUACUAUCAUUGAUUUGCUAGUUGUCUCGCUUCUAUCAUUAUGUCUCGCUGCCUACCACUUGUUAUGUCAAGCCUCCCAACAUUGCCAUAAAAAGCUUCUAACUCUCCACAUCUCAGCAAACCUUUGUUUGACCAUGUUACCGCUUGCUCAGUCCUUCUUAUAGCGUUGCUAGUUGCAGGUGCAAGUUACUUCCAUGUGAAAACAUGGCUUUAUUGAGAUAUCACAAUAUUAUUGCUAUUUAAUUUAAUGCACAUAUAUACUUGGUAAAAGGUGGAAGGCUUGGUCUUUUGGCUUGGUGCUUUGUUCCAUCUUUGUCGCCCUGGUUACUUGUGUAUCGGUGUUAUGUUGCAUACUGAGGGCUCCUAACAUGCUUGGGGUUGUUAUGGGGACCCUCUUGAUUUUCGUUUUGGGAAGAACUCUUAUGGGAAGGCCCAUCAUUGGUACUACAUUUGCCUAAUAACUAAUAAAAUUGCAUAGGGACUUUCCGGGCCUCAUGGAUAAUUAAUCAACAAGCCGUGCGAGUGAUCCUCAUGAGUGUUGGUCCAAACUAGAGUACUGCGCGGGGCCACCCCGGGGCAACUCGGGGGAUUUCUACUAGGCCACCGUACGCGUCGCUUAUGCGGUAGUGCCGUGAGAAAGAGAUACACACGAUUCCUAUUUGCAUCUGUCAUGCCAGACAGUCUUGCUAGAUUUGUUUUACUCUUAUCGAAAGUCUUGUGCACUCGGAUAUCGACGAUACCUCAGGCUACCUCGAGGUUGAGGUUUUCUCUCAAGGGCAGCUUGUGAUAGUUUGUGAUGACUAGUUGGAGCACCCCUGUAGGGUUAAAUAUUUCGGAAAGCCGUGUCCGCGGUUAUGUGGCAACGUGGAAACUUUGUUUAACACCCGGUUAUAGCAAACUUGAUGUAAACUCAAUUAAAUAUGCUAACUGUGUGCAUAACCGUGACUGUCUUUACUCGUGAGUUCUGCAUCGAAGAGAGGACAUGGUGGGGUUAUGUUUGACUCGUAAGUAGGUGUUCAAGAUCAUUUCUUGAUCAUUAUUAGUUCACGACCGUUUAUGCGUAGAUCACCCACCUUUUAUUCUUGUACUUGUAAGUUAGCAACUCAAAUAAAUUCUUAGUGCCUUUUGCACCCUCACCACUUAACCAUACCUCAUCCAUUAAGCUUUGCUAGUACGGUAUCUCUUGAAAUGAGAUUGUUGAGUGUGUGUGGCUCAUAGAUUACUACAACAACACUUGCAGGUACAGGUAAAGCGAUACUUUGACGUGAGCGCGAUGAUUGUUUUAUUUGGAAUUCUUGUUCUUUUUCUUCUUCUUCAUUGAUCAUAGGAUGGGUUUGAGGCCGGCAGCCUGGGAUAUCAAGGAUGGACGUCAUUUUAUUCGUUUGAUUUCAUCCGUAGUCGGACCCUGCUCUUCUGAAUGGUGAUUGAAUGUAUGUUUGUAUUGAUAUGAUCAUAAUUAGCUUGUGGCGAGUGUAAUCCAAUUCCAUAUACUCCUCUCUUCUGUACAUGUACUUGUAACGACAUCCAUUCUUAUGAAACGACGACAUGCACUUCUAUCACUGUCGAGGCCCUCGUGCCAAAAUUAGGAUUGCAUUGCAUCUGAGGCGUUACAAGUUGGUAUCAAAGCAGUGCCGACCUACGAGGCCCCUUGAUUGAUGAAACUUGGCCGAGUCGAGUCUAGUGAAAACUACUUUGACUCUAGUUAUUUAUCGGAGAGUAGGAUUCUUUUUACUCCUUUUCUAUGCUCUCGUGUGGAAUCUUGAUGUAGAAAUUUUAAUUCUACUUCGCUUCUCACUCAAUUUUUUUAGGAUCACACGGGUAUUUUGGAGCCUCUAUGAUGUCGAUGUGAUGGAAUUCUGUACUUGGUGCCUCCUGUUUCCGAGGAGUAGAGCUCCAAGGGGUUUUCGACACAUCGCUAUCGUUGAGCUUCCUUAGUAUCUCAGGAACAUCGAAAUGCUUCAUUACUUUGCUUGGUGGCAAAUAGUGUUGUGACUUUCCCCAGUACUGGUGGAGAUAGCUCGGAUGAUCUAACAUGUCUAGUAUCAUUGUUUUUCGAAGGUCUGAGGUAAAUGAGUUUGCGGAACUUGUCGGAUAUGUGUUGAGGAUUGCGGGUGCGGUUUUGCAGCUGAUUACAUUGAGUAGGUUCCUGGACCCACAACCUGAUAGCAUAACCAAGAAAUAUUUUGGAAGUUCUCAGGUGGGAAUUCAAGUAGUUACCUAGGAUUAUCCUUCCAACAAAUGAAUGGUUGGUGAUGUAUUUGUUUCCGGCUUAUUCUGCAAGCCUCAUCCUUUGUUUUGUUGGAGUGUGGUAAUUCGAGUUGCUUCAAUGUUAAGUGUCGAUUUCGUAUCAUUUCUAAGUGGUGUUCUCGUAUUUCUAUGAGAGCGCUACUCUUUUGCUCAAAUCAAAUUGUCAUGUUAAUUCUUUUCAACCAGUGUGCUUCUCUUCAAGUAAUUCAAUCUUUUUCAAUAUUUGCAACAUCCAUCCUCGUAUUUCUUUCCGGAGUUCGUCUCAUAUGGCCCAAGUUGUCUUUUUUCCCACCGUUCCGCCCUUUUC